rnacentral:pre_miRNA from 1 species
AGUAGGAUAACUGGGUCAAAUGGUGGAUCCAUUCCAAGUGUUUGAGGAAUCUCCAUACUGCUUUCCAGAGUAGCUGCACCAUUUGCAGUCCCACUAGCAAU